GAAUCCGCUAAGGAGUGUGUAACAACUCACCUGCCGAAUGAAUUAGCCCUGAAAAUGGAUGACGCUUAAGCGGACAGCCGACACCACGUCGUCUGAUCAAAGUGGUCUCAGAUGAGUAGGAGGGCGUGGCGGUCGUAUGGAAGCGUCGGUGCGAACCGGCGUGAAACGGCCGCUAGUGCAGAUCUUGGUGGUAGUAGCAAAUAUUCAAGUGAGAUCCUUGAAGGACGAAGCGGGGAAGGGUUCCACGCGAACAUUGAUUGAGCGUGGGUGAGUCGUUCCUAAGCCGAGUGGUCAUAGCUAAUUACCGGCGAAAGGGAAGCAGGUUGACAUUCCUGCACACGGAUGUGGAGGCGGUGACGCCGUAUUGAGGUGAUGACGUUGGCAGUGGCUCUGGGCAGAGUUUUCUUUUCUGUUUGACCGUCAAUGUGCGCUGUGUGGAAUCCGCUUGUCGGGAGAAACACGCGUGCACGGGCAGAGCGCCGGGGCUUUUCCGGCGUCCAGAUCGCCACUGACGACCCUUGAAAAAUCACCCGCUGAUUAUACAAUCCACGCCGUGGCGUACCGAUCACCGCAUCAGGUCCCCAAGGUGAACAGCCUCUGUCCAAUAUGAAUAAUGCAGGUAAGGGAAGUCGGCA
rnacentral:rRNA from 2 species